rnacentral:rRNA from 1 species
UGCCAGCCGCCGCGGUAAGACGAACCGUCCAAACGUUAUUCGGUAUCACUGGGCUUAAAGAGUCCGUAGGCGGCCAUGUAGGUCAGAUGUGAAAUCCCACAGCUCAACUGUGGAACUGCGUUUGAAACCACAUGGCUUGAGGGAGAUAGAGGUGAGCGGAACAGAUGGUGGAGCGGUGAAAUGCGUUGAUAUCAUCUGGAACACCGGUGGCGAAAGCGGCUCACUGGACCGUAUCUGACGCUGAGGUGCGAAAGCUAGGGUAGCAAACGGGAUUAGAUA